rnacentral:lncRNA from 1 species
UUUCAGUGACAACAGUCAGAGUGAAAGUAUGUGAGCUGAAAAACAGACUCCAUUUUGAGAAAAGAAGAGAGAGGAGAGGACGAGGAGACAGGGUGAGUGUUUACUCUGUUUUUGUUUUAAUGUCAAACUCUUUAUCUGUAUCAUCCGUUAAUGAAAAAUGAUUUACUGACUAAUACACUGAAAAACUGUAAAACAAAGAAACUUGACCAGACAAAGAGCUGGAUCAGUUCUUGAUACAGAAAACUGUGUAUGUGCAGUUCUUCCUCCUCUUUGUUUAGACUUGACUUUUUGGUAAAAACAUAAAUAAGAAUCUUUUUAGAGUCUCAUUUCAAAUUUAAUCCAGUCCCCUUAAUCUUAUAUGAGAGUUCAGGGACCUCACAGCUGAUUUUGUUUUGACCAUGAAUGAGAUAAGGAUCAGAGAGAGGCCCUGCAGGGUGGGGAGACAUCAGAAGUACUUGGAUAUUAAACCUGUAUAACUCUUAAAGAGGGGGAUUAAGUCUGUACUUCCUUUCUGAUUCCUCUUUUAUUUCUGAAGUCUCUUCCUGUUUGUAUCUCACCUGUUUGUCUACUUUGUCCUCAGGUUGAAUAACUUGGUUUCAUCUUCCAUGAAUCUUCACAACAUCAGAUGGAGAAGAUGAGUGUUUGUGUUGAGGAAGAGGAGGACAGAGCAAAGUCUGUUAUGUCCGACUGUCUGUCUAUGAAGAGUGACCGGUCUAAAGAUGAUCCUCUAAACUUCAGUAAAGAACCAGGACCCUCAGAGGAGGGCAGAACAGAGUCUGUUAUGUCCGACUGUCUGUCUAUGAAGAGUGACUGGUCUAAAGCUGAUCCUCUAAACUUCGGUAAAGAACCAGGACCCUCAGAUUCACGGUAAGAGAAAUACUUUUCACCCUCCAAACUCUCAAACAACAACAACUGAUGUUUUAAAAUCAGAACUUUAAAUUCUGACCCCUCUGUUUUCUACCAUGGUGAGAAAAAUGAUCUCCUCUGCUCUCAAAACGCUGAUUUUCCUCUUUAACCUUCAACCUGGAGAAAGUAAAGAAAAAGUCACUGAGCACAGAUUUACUUAUUAUUCCUCAUGUUGAUAAAAAUGAAGGUCAUAUAAAACAGCAUUUGAAGAGGAUUCUGACCUCUGUAUUUUCUGAUUUGGUUCCUGUGUUUGGGACGUUUUGAGCCUGUAAGUCUUUGGACUGUGGUGUAUAGACCCCAGAAAACAGUCUGUGGGUCACAAAAUACCAGAAGACCAAUGAAGAAAUAAAUCCUGAGAAAUAAAAACUCAUUCAAACAUCUGUCUGUUAUUAGACCUUUAGAUCUGAUUGGUCAAAAAAAUGUUUUAAACUGUCAGAGAAAAUCUCUCUACCUUCAAAAAUCACAGUUUAGUUUUUUCUCCUGUCUCCACACUUUCAGGCAGCAGCAGCUGAAUAUUUUACAGGAGAUUGUUUUAUGUUAGAGAAAAGAGUGAGGUCAGAAACUCUGGUUUAAUAAAUGCUUCUUAUUCUGUAUCUUUCAAACAUGAAAUGAUAAAGAAAAUAAAUGUUCUUUAUUUCCACAGAGAGACACAGAGAUGUGACUCUGUGGAGGAGCAGCUGUCCAGAUGUUUUUCAUGUCAGGACGUCCUGAAGGAUCCAGUCUCUUACCGCUGUGGACACCUGUCCUGCAGACAGUGCCUGGCCUCAUGCAGGGACCAGUCUACUUCUUUAGGACACACCUCCUGUCCCCAGUGUGGAAAAAGAACCAGAACAGCUCUUGUCUCUCAGACAGACAGUCAGUCCAGCUCUGAUGGAAGUAAGUCUGAACAUCUGUCCUCUAAAGUCUCUGUGGAUGAAAACUCAGCUGACUGAUUUUCACAAAGACGGUUCAGUGUUGAGAAGUUUGGUUCAUUUUAUUUUUCUUCUCUUUCAGAAGAUCUCGGUCUGCAGGAGGUUUUAGAUGAACAUAAGAUCAGUCUGAAGAGGAGAUGUGAACGCGUGAAUGAAGGAAGUGAUGUAACAGGAAGUAGUCAAACCCUCCUCAACAGGAUCUUCACUGAGCUCUACAUCACAGAGGGACUGAGUGAAGAGGUGAACACCCAACAUGAGGUGAGACAGCUGGAGACAGUUUCAAAGAUGAAGACCCUCCAUGACACGCCCAUCAAGUGUCAUGAGAUCUUUAAAACCUUACCUGACCAACAGAAGAAGGUCAUCAGAGUGGUUCUGACCAACGGCGUGGCUGGUGUUGGAAAAACCUUCUCAGUGCAGAAGUUCACUCUGGACUGGGCAGAGGGUUUGGAGAACCGAGACCUCCAUCUGGUGGUCCUGCUUUCAUUCAGGGAGCUGAACCUGAUCAGAGAUGAGUGCUUCAGUCUUCUGAGUCUGCUCCAUGUUUUCCAUCCAACCCUAGAGAAGGUCACAGCAGAGACGCUGGCUGUCUGUAAACUUCUGUUCAUCUUUGACGGUCUGGAUGAAAGCAGACUGUCUCUGGAUUUCACAGACUCUGAGGUGGUGUCUGACGUCACACAGAAGUCUUCACUGAACGUUCUGUUAACAAACCUCAUCAAGGGGAACCUGCUCCCCUCAGCUCUCAUCUGGAUAACUUCUCGACCUUCAGCAGCCAAUCAGAUCCCUCCUUCACGUGUGGACAGGGUAACAGAAGUACGAGGCUUCACUGACGCCCAGAAGGAGGAGUACUUCAGGAAGAGGCUCAGAGAUGAAGAUCUGUCCAGAAGAAUCAUCUCACACAUCAAGUCCUCCAGGAGCCUCCACAUCAUGUGUCAGAUCCCGGUCUUCUGCUGGAUCACUGCUACAGUUCUGGAGGACAUGAUGAGCAGA